UAUUGGCACAACAGCUUCUGGAAAUCUGC
rnacentral:piRNA from 1 species